rnacentral:rRNA from 1 species
AGUGUAGGCGGCUACUUAAGUCGGAUGUGAAAGCCCCGGGCUCAACCUGGGAAUUGCAGUCGAAACUGGGUAGCUAGAGUUUGGUAGAGGUAAGUGGAAUUCCGGGUGUAGCGGUGAAAUGCGUAGAUAUCCGGAGGAACAUCAGUGGCGAAGGCGGCUUACUGGACCAAAACUGACGCUGAGGCUCGAAAGCGUGGGGAGCAAACAGGAUUAGAUACCCUGGUAGUCC